rnacentral:rRNA from 1 species
UCCUACGGGAGGCAGCAGUCGGGAAUAUUGCACAAUGGAGGAAACUCUGAUGCAGUGACGCCGCGUGCAGGAAGAAGGUUUUCGGAUUGUAAACUGCUUUAGGUAGGGAAGAUAAAAGACUGUACCUAUAGAAUAAGCUCCGGCUAACUACGUGCCAGCAGCCGCGGUAAUACGUAGGGGGCAAGCGUUAUCCGGAUUUACUGGGUGUAAAGGGAGCGUAGACGGCAGUGCAGGUCUGAAGUGAAAGGCAAGGGCUCAACCCUUGGACUGCUUUGGAAACUGUGCUGCUGGCGUGUCGGAGAGGG